UACGUAGGGUGCGAGCGUUAAUCGGAAUUACUGGGCGUAAAGCGUGCGCAGGCGGUUUUGUAAGUCUGUCGUGAAAUCCCCGGGCUUAACCUGGGAAUUGCGGUGGAGACUGCAAGGCUAGAAUCUGGCAGAGGGGGGUAGAAUUCCACGUGUAGCAGUGAAAUGCGUAGAGAUGUGGAGGAACACCGAUGGCGAAGGCAGCCCCCUGGGUCAAGAUUGACGCUCAUGCACGAAAGCGUGGGGAGCAAACAGG
rnacentral:rRNA from 1 species